rnacentral:rRNA from 1 species
UAAGAGCGAAUGGUGGAUGCCUUGACUGGUAAAGGCGAUGAAGGACGUACUAGACUGCGAUAAGCUACGGGGAGCUGUCAAGAAGCUUUGAUCCGUAGAUUUCCGAAUGGGGCAACCCAAUGUAUAGAGAUAUACAUUACCUAUAUAGGAGCGAACGAGGGGAAUUGAAACAUCUUAGUACCCUCAGGAAAAGAAAUCAAUAGAGAUUGCGUCAGUAGCGGCGAGCGAAAGCGCAAGAGGGCAAACCCAGUGCUUGCACUGGGGGUUGUAGGACUGCAAUGUGCAAGAGGUGAGUUUAGCAGAACAUUCUGGAAAGUAUAGCCAUAGAGGGUGAUAGUCCCGUAUGCGAAAAACAAACCUUAGCUAGCAGUAUCCUGAGUAGGGCGGGACACGAGAAAUCCUGUCUGAAGCUGGGUCGACCACGAUCCAACCCUAAAUACUAAUACCAGAUCGAUAGUGCACAAGUACCGUGAGGGAAAGGUGAAAAGAACUGAGGUGAUCAGAGUGAAAUAGAACCUGAAACCAUUUGCUUACAAUCAUUCAGAGCCCUAUGUAGCAAUACAGGGUGAUGGACUGCCUUUUGCAUAAUGAGCCUGCGAGUUGUGGUGUCUGGCAAGGUUAAGCAAACGCGAAGCCGUAGCGAAAGCGAGUCUGAAUAGGGCGCUUAGUCAGAUGCUGCAGACCCGAAACGAAGUGAUCUAUCCAUGAGCAAGUUGAAGCUAGUGUAAGAACUAGUGGAGGACUGAACCCAUAGGCGUUGAAAAGCCCCGGGAUGACUUGUGGAUAGGGGUGAAAGGCCAAUCAAACUUCGUGAUAGCUGGUUCUCUCCGAAAUAUAUUUAGGUAUAGCGUUGUGUCGUAAUAUAAGGGGGUAGAGCACUGAAUGGGCUAGGGCAUACACCAAUGUACCAAACCCUAUCAAACUCCGAAUACCUUAUAUGUAAUCACAGCAGUCAGGCGGCGAGUGAUAAAAUCCGUCGUCAAGAGGGAAACAACCCAGACUACCAGCUAAGGUCCCUAAAUCUUACUUAAGUGGAAAACGAUGUGAAGUUACUUAAACAACCAGGAGGUUGGCUUAGAAGCAGCCAUCCUUUAAAGAAAGCGUAAUAGCUCACUGGUCUAGUGAUUUUGCGCGGAAAAUAUAACGGGGCUAAAGUAAGUACCGAAGCUGUAGACUUGCGCACAACUUAGAUUAUUUAAGUUUAGAAUAUGAGAAACUAAGUUAUAUGUUUAGUUAUAUUUUUACUGAUUUUUAUAGAGUAAAGAUAGAAAUAAAACUUAGUAAAAUCAGUAAAAAUAUUCUUAGACUAAAGUUAAGUAGUUUAAGUUGUGUGCAAGUGGUAGGAGAGCGUUCUAUUUGCGUCGAAGGUAUACCGGUAAGGAGUGCUGGAGCGAAUAGAAGUGAGCAUGCAGGCAUGAGUAGCGAUAAUUAAUGUGAGAAUCAUUAACGCCGUAAACCCAAGGUUUCCUACGCGAUGCUCGUCAUCGUAGGGUUAGUCGGGUCCUAAGUCGAGUCCGAAAGGGGUAGACGAUGGCAAAUUGGUUAAUAUUCCAAUACCAACAUUAGUGUGCGAUGGAAGGACGCUUAGGGCUAAGGGGGCUAGCGGAUGGAAGUGCUAGUCUAAGGUCGUAGGAGGUUAUACAGGCAAAUCCGUAUAACAAUACUCCGAGAACUGAAAGGCUUUUUGAAGUCUUCGGAUGGAUAGAAGAACCCCUGAUGCCGUCGAGCCAAGAAAAGUUUCUAAGUUUAGCUAAUGUUGCCCGUACCGUAAACCGACACAGGUGGGUGGGAUGAGUAUUCUAAGGCGCGUGGAAGAACUCUCUUUAAGGAACUCUGCAAAAUAGCACCGUA